rnacentral:rRNA from 1 species
AUGGACCAUUCCAUCCCUUUUUCCCGUGCAUAUGCAUCGGACUCGGAUGACGAUGGUCCCGAUGAACAAGUUGAUGCGGAGGGGUUCACGGUGAAGGAGGCCGAAGCUUUCGAGAAGGUAUUUGGUUGGGAUCAUCGGACUACAUUGUUCAAGGAUGUUAGUCUCGCGGAUGAAGCCGUGGUAGAUGGUGGCCAAUGUGUACCUCUUGGGGUUAGGCCAACCUCUCAC